GGUCCCAUCGUCUAGCGGUUAGGACACCGCCCUUUCACGGCGGUAAUACGGGUUCGAAUCCCGUACGGGCUACAA
rnacentral:tRNA from 1 species